UACGUAGGUGGCAAGCGUAGUCCGGAUUUACUGGGCGUAAAGGGCGUGCAGGCGGUCUGUUAAGUUCAGUGUGAGAGCUCCCGGCUCAACUGGGAGAGGUCCUUGGAUACUGGCAGACUUGAGGAGGGUAGAGGAGAGUGGAAUUCCCGGUGUAGUGGUGAUAUGCGUAGAUAUCGGGAGGAACACCAGUGGCGAAGGCGGCUCUCUGGGCCAUACCUGACGCUGAGACGCGAAAGCGUGGGGAGCGAACCGG
rnacentral:rRNA from 1 species